UACGUAGGGUGCGAGCGUUGCCCGGAUUUAUUGGGCGUAAAGGGCGCGUAGGCGGUGCGGUAAGUCACCUGUGAAAUCUCCUGGCUCAACUGGGAGCUUGCAGGCGAAACUGCCGUGCUGGAGUGUGGGAGAGGUGCGUGGAAUUCCUGGUGUAGCGGUGAAAUGCGUAGAUAUCAGGAGGAACACCUGUGGCGAAAAGCGGCGCACUGGACCACAACUGACGCUGAGGCGCGAAAGCUAGGGGAGCAAACAGG
rnacentral:rRNA from 1 species